GACGAACGCUGGCGGCGUGCUUAACACAUGCAAGUCGAACGGAAAGGCCAUGCUUGCAGGGUACUCGAGUGGCGAACGGGUGAGUAACACGCGGGUGAUCUGCCCUGCACUUCGGGAUAAGCCAGGGAAACUGGGUCUAAUACCGGAUAGGAGCCAUUUUGAGUGUGAUGGUUGGAAAGUUUUUUCGGUGUAGGAUGAGCUCGCGGCCUAUCAGCUUGUUGGUGGGGUAAUGGCCUACCAAGGCGGCGACGGGUAGCCGGCCUGAGAGGGUGGACGGCCACAUUGGGACUGAGAUACGGCCCAGACUCCUACGGGAGGCAGCAGGGGGGAAUAUUGCACAAGGGGCGCAAGCCUGAUGCAGCGACGCCGCGUGUGGGAUGACGGCCUUCGGGUUGAAAACUCCUUUCGCUAGGGACGAAGCUUUUUGUGACGGUACCUAGAUAAGAAGCACCGGCUAACUACGUG
rnacentral:rRNA from 1 species